CUAGUAAAUGGAUGACAAGCCAUUAACAUUGAAAGAAGAAGAGGCAUCCAAAGUGUUGGGUCCGCAUCGCCCUUGCCUUGGAGGAAGCUCCAAAGAGAGGGAAGGAUGGUUUCCAGCAGUCCCUGAAGUGACUUUCCUCCUUUGUAGGAUCCAGUUACACCCAGCAGACUUCAGUUUGAAUAAACAGAACUGGAUGAACACACCUAGGGAAUCUUUGAGGCCAGCCUUAGCUUUUAACAUCCAGCUACAGGGAGGCUCUCGCUCACCGGGAGAUUAACCCGCCAGGCUGCUGAGUGAGAAGGGACAGAGCAGGCCCUGACGGGAGGCCUGGGAUGCAGGGGAAAUCAAAACAAGUCCACCUGCUUAAGGAGACUGCCGCACUGUGACCUCGUCCUCCGGACCUCUGUGGCAAGUGUUACCGCAGCCACUGAUGUGGCACUGGGCCAUUUACAGCUGCCUUGUGAUAUUCUUUUUCACGACUGUGUUUACACUAUUGUUUAACAACUUUGUAUAACAAUCUCUUUUCACUCCAAAUAAACCUUAGUGCCAGGAAGGCCAAGAGUAUCUUCA
rnacentral:antisense_RNA from 1 species